rnacentral:rRNA from 1 species
UACGGAGGGUGCGAGCGUUAAUCGGAAUUACUGGGCGUAAAGCGCACGCAGGCGGCUUGUUAAGCUAGAGGUGAAAGCCCCGCGCCUCAACGUGGGAAACUGCCGUUUAGAACUGGCAGGCUAGAGUCUUGGAGAGGGGAGGUGGAAUUCCAGGUUGUAGCGGUGAAAUGCGUAGAAUAUCUGGAGGAACAUCAGUGGCGAAGGCGGCUCCCUAGGCCAAAGACUGACAGCUCAUGUGCGAAAGUGUGGGUAGCGAAACAGGAUUGAGAUACCCCGUAGUCC